rnacentral:lncRNA from 1 species
AAUUUUCUCUUUUCUGGUUAUUUUAAUUCAUUUUAAAUAGUUUUUGAUAUUCAAAAAAUACAAAAAUAUUUUCCUAAUCUAUUUGAAUGAUGAUGGAUCUAUGAAAAAUAUUCUCAUCAAUUUUUAAAUUGAUUUGAGAGUUAUUUGAGAUUUUAGUUCAAUUAGGUUAUUUUUAUUCAUUUUUUGUUGAUUAAAAAUAGUUUCUGACUUUUAAAAAUGCUGAAAUUUUUUGUCAAACUUUUUU